rnacentral:rRNA from 1 species
AACGUAGGACGCAAGCGUUAUCCGGAGUUACUGGGCGUAAAGCGCGGGCAGGCGGCUCGAUGCGUCUGAUGUGAAAUCUCCUCGCUCAACGGGGAGAGGCCAUUGGAAACGGUCGAGCUGGAGGGCAGUAGAGGCAGGCGGAAUUCCGGGUGGAGUGGUGAAAUGCGUAGAUAUUCGGAAGAACACCAGUGGCGAAGGCGGCUCACUGGACUGGUAUUGACGCUGAGGUGCGAAAGCGUGGGGAGCAAACAGG